UACAGAGGCCUCGAGCGUUAGGCGGAAUCACUGGGCUUAAAGCGUGUGUAGGCGGACUUCUAAGUACCUUGUGAAAUCCCACGGCUCAACCGUGGAACUGCUGGGCAUACUGGACAUCUCGAGGCACUCAGGGGCGAGCGGAACAAGUGGUGGAGCGGUGAAAUGCGUAGAUAUCACUUGGAACGCCAAUGGUGAAGACAGCUCGCUGGGGGUGUCCUGACGCUGAGGCGGCGAAAGCCAGGGGAGCGAACGGG
rnacentral:rRNA from 1 species